CUUGGGACAGGUGGAAGGAUGAGAUUGGACAGAGCACGUGUCAUUGUUUCUCUCUCUCCUUCUCGUCGUCUCCCUCCUCUCCUUCUCUUCGUCUUCUCCUUCUCUACUUCUCUGGACAGAGCAGGUGGAAGAUACAUUAAUGUUAUCCCUGCAAUAAGGAUGCUCGUAGUCGACGUCCCUAGUUUCAGUGAAGCUAACCGAAGAGGAGAAGCGCAGUUCUCGUGCUGAGAGGUUAGAUUAGGGUUACGAAAGGCGGUGGUGGCGCAGUCGUACGCGAGGAUCUUUUUCAGGAUCUCGGUGACAACAAGGGAGAUUUAUCCACGUGAUGUGACGACGGCGGAGUUAAGGGAAGCGGAAAGUGUUUUGAUUAAUCAUAUGACGGGGAAGGAGUAUAGGCUUAAGGCGAUUGGUGAUGCCGGGCCUGUGAUUGAUGCUGGUGGUAUCAUUGUGUAUGCGAGGAAAGCUGGGAUGAUUCCUUCUGCAGCUGCUUGAUUGAUUUCUCCCUGACAGUGAAAACUGGUGUACGAGAGAUGAGCUUGAGUAGAUUGAUGCACGUGAAGUCUUGUUUUGACUCCUUCCUUUUCAGGAAUGUGAAGACCGUUUAAUAUCUUUGUUAAUCGGGUUCUACCUGUUCUUCACAAAAGGCAUGUAAGAGGGAGUGUGGUGGUUGUGGGUUUGUGGUGAGGAAGGAGAGAGAUGAAGAUAUUGCGCUCGUUGUGCCUCCUGUUUUCAGCUUCUGUACAAAGGUACUCGAUGCAAAAGAGCAGAUAGAAGCAAGGGACAUGUACUGGGAAGCUGUGAGUGUUGUUUCUGUUUCAAGUUCUUAUGCUUAUUCUCUAUCUGUUUCAUACUUCAUGUGCGUGUGCUUUGUUGUUCUGUUUUAUGUUUCAUGUUUCAAGUUGUACUGCUUGUUAUGUACUUCAAAUGAUUUUUACUAAGAUACAACAUAAAAGUUUCUACCAAUAA